UGGGGAAGUAUUGGACAAUGGGCGGCAAGCCUGAUCCAGCCAUGCCGCGUGUGUGAAGAAGGCCUUAUGGUUGUAAAGCACUUUAAGCGAGGAGGAGGCUACUUUAGAUAAUACCUAGAGAUAGUGGACGUUACUCGCAGAAUAAGCACCGGCUAACUCUGUGCCAG
rnacentral:rRNA from 1 species